GUGCCAGCCGCCGCGGUAAUACAGAGGUCUCAACCGUUGUUCGGAUUCAUUGGGCGUAAAGGGUGCGUAGGCGGUCGUGCAAGUCGGACGUGAAAUCUCAGGGCUCAACCCUGAAACUGCAUUCGAUACUGCGCGGCUAGAGUGCUGGAGGGGAGACUGGAAUUUACGGUGUAGCAGUGAAAUGCGUAGAUAUCGUAAGGAAGACCAGUGGCGAAGGCGAGUCUCUGGACAGCAACUGACGCUGAGGCACGAAGGCCAGGGGAGCAAACG
rnacentral:rRNA from 1 species